rnacentral:rRNA from 1 species
AGAGUUUGAUCCUGGCUCAGGAUGAACGCUGGCGGCGUGCUUAACACAUGCAAGUCGAACGAGAGAAGAUCGGUGCUUGCACUGAUCCGAUCGAGUGGCGGACGGGUGAGUAACGCGUGGGUAACCUGCCUCAUACAGGGGAAUAACAGUUGGAAACGGCUGCUAAAACCGCAUAAGCGCACAGUAUCGCAUGAUACAGUGUGAAAAACUCCGGUGGUAUGAGAUGGACCCGCGUCUGAUUAGCUAGUUGGUGAGGUAACGGCCCACCAAGGCAACGAUCAGUAGCCGGCCUGAGAGGGUGAACGGCCACAUUGGGACUGAGACACGGCCCAAACUCCUACGGGAGGCAGCAGUGGGGAAUCUUCCGCAAUGGGCGAAAGCCUGACGGAGCAAUGCCGCGUGAAUGAAGAAGGCCUUCGGGUCGUAAAAUUCUGUCCUUAUUGAAGAGAGGUUCAUGUGUAAACAAUGCAUGAAUAGGACGGUAGAUAAGGAGGAAGCCCCGGCUAACUACGUGCCAGCAGCCGCGGUAAUACGUAGGGGGCGAGCGUUGUCCGGAAUCACUGGGCGUAAAGGGCGCGUAGGCGGCCUAGUAAGUCAGAUGUGAAAAGUGAGGGCUCAACCCUUAGAGUGCAUCUGAUACUGCUAGGCUUGAGUACAGAAGAGGAAAGCGGAAUUCCUAGUGUAGCGGUGAAAUGCGUAGAUAUUAGGAGGAACACCAGUGGCGAAGGCGGCUUUCUGGGCUGAAACUGACGCUGAGGCGCGAAAGCGUGGGGAGCAAACAGGAUUAGAUACCCUGGUAGUCCACGCCGUAAACGAUGGGUACUAGGUGUCGGGGGUAUCGAUACCCUCGGUGCCGGAGUAAACACAAUAAGUACCCCGCCUGGGGAGUACGAUCGCAAGAUUGAAACUCAAAGGAAUUGACGGGGGCCCGCACAAGCGGUGGAGCAUGUGGUUUAAUUCGACGCAACGCGAAGAACCUUACCAAGACUUGACAUCCUGCUGACGGAUUGGGUAAUGCCGAUCGUUCUACUUCGGUAGACAGCAGAGACAGGUGGUGCAUGGUUGUCGUCAGCUCGUGUCGUGAGAUGUUGGGUUAAGUCCCGCAACGAGCGCAACC